rnacentral:rRNA from 1 species
AGCAGCCGCGGUAAUUCCAGCUCCAAUAGCGUAUAUUAAAGUUGUUGCAGUUAAAAAGCUCGUAGUUGAAUUUCGGGAUCAAUACGUCGGUCGUGCUCCGGUACGUACUGGCGUCAUUGAUUUCUCCCUUCUGACGAACCACGAUGUCAUUAACUUGGUGUCAUGGGAAAUCAGGACUGUUACUUUGAAAAAAUUAGAGUGUUUAAAGCAGGCUCACGCUUGAAUACAUUAGCAUGGAAUAAUGAAAUAGGACGUUCGAUCCUAUUUUGUUGGUUUUAGGAUCAACGUAAUGAUUAAUAGGGAUAGUUGGGGGCAUUAGUAUUCAAUUGUCAGAGGUGAAAUUCUUGGAUUUAUUGAAGACUAACUACUGCGAAAGCAUUUGCCAAGGAUGUUUUCAUUAAUCAAGAACGAAAGUUAGGGGAUCGAAGACGAUCAGAUACCGUCGUAGUCUUAACCAUAAACUAUGCCGACUAGGGAUCGGAUGAUGUUAAUUUUUUAAUGACUCAUUCGGCGCCUUACG